rnacentral:rRNA from 1 species
GGAAUCUUGCACAAUGGGCGAAAGCCUGAUGCAGCGACGCCGCGUGGGGGAUGAAGGCCUUAGGGUCGUAAACCCCUUUCAGCAGGGACGAAAAUGACGGUACCUGCAGAAGAAGCCCCGGCCAACUACGUGCCAGCAGCCGCGGUAAGACGUGGGGGGCGAGCGUUGUUCGGAAUUACUGGGCGUAAAGGGCGCGUAGGCGGCAUGACAAGUCACUUGUGAAAUCUCUGGGCUUAACCCAGAACGGCCAAGUGAUACUGUCGCGCUAGAGUGCAGAAGGGGCAAUCGGAAUUCUUGGUGUAGCGGUGAAAUGCGUAGAUAUCAAGAGGAACACCUGAGGUGAAGACGGGUUGCUGGGCUGACACUGACGCUGAGGCGCGAAAGCCAGGGGAGCAAACGGGAUUAGAUACCCUUGUAGUCCCUGAGCGGGCUGGCAAGGCGCAU